rnacentral:rRNA from 1 species
CCUACGGGGGGCUGCAGUGGGGAAUAUUGGACAAUGGGCGCAAGCCUGAUCCAGCCAUGCCGCGUGAGUGAUGAAGGCCCUAGGGUUGUAAAGCUCUUUCGGCGGGGACGAUAAUGACGGUACCCGCAGAAGAAGCCCCGGCUAACUUCGUGCCAGCAGCCGCGGUAAUACGAAGGGGGCUAGCGUUGUUCGGAAUCACUGGGCGUAAAGCGCACGUAGGCGGAUUAUUAAGUCGGGGGUGAAAUCCCGAGGCUCAACCUCGGAACUGCCUUCGAUACUGGUAAUCUUCGAGUCCGGGAGAGGUGAGUGGAACUCCGAGUGUAGAGGUGAAAUUCGUAGAUAUUCGGAAGAACACCAGUGGCGAAGGCGGCUCACUGGCCCGGUACUGACGCUGAGGUGCGAAAGCGUGGGGAGCAAACAGGAUUAGAUACCCGUGUAGUC